AUUGAACGCUGGCGGCAGGCUUAACACAUGCAAGUCGAGCGGGGGAAGGUAGCUUGCUACCGGACCUAGCGGCGGACGGGUGAGUAAUGCUUAGGAAUCUGCCUAUUAGUGGGGGACAACAUCUCGAAAGGGAUGCUAAUACCGCAUACGUCCUACGGGAGAAAGCAGGGGAUCACUUGUGACCUUGCGCUAAUAGAUGAGCCUAAGUCGGAGUAGCUAGUUGGUGGGGUAAAGGCCUACCAAGGCGACGAUCUGGAGCGGGUCUGAGAGGAGGAUCCGCCACACUGGGACUGAGACACGGCCCAGACUCCUACGGGAGGCAGCAAUGGGGAAUAUUGGACAAUGGGGGGAACCCUGAUCCAGCCAUGCCGCGUGUGUGAAGAAGGCCUUAUGGUUGUAAAGCACUUUAAGCGAGGAGGAGGCUCUUUUGGUUAAUACCCAAGAUGAGUGGACGUUACUCGCAGAAUAAGCACCGGCUAACUCUGUGCCAGCAGCCGCCGUAA
rnacentral:rRNA from 1 species